AUUGAACGCUGGCGGCAUGCCUUACACAUGCAAGUCGAACGGUAACAGGUUAAGCUGACGAGUGGCGAACGGGUGAGUAAUGUAUCGGAACGUGCCCAGUCGUGGGGGAUAACUGCUCGAAAGAGCAGCUAAUACCGCAUACGACCUGAGGGGGAAAGCGGGGGAUCGCAAGACCUCGCGCGAUUGGAGCGGCCGAUAUCAGAUUAGGUAGUUGGUGAGGUAAAGGCUCACCAAGCGGACGAUCUGUAGUUGGUCUGAGAGGACGACCAGCCACACUGGGACUGAGACACGGCCCAGACUCCUACGGGAGGCAGCAGUGGGGAAUUUUGGACAAUGGGCGCAAGCCUGAUCCAGCCAUGCCGCGUGCGGGAAGAAGGCCUUCGGGUUGUAAACCGCUUCUGUCAGGGAAGAAAAGGUUCUGGCUAAUACCUGGGACUCAUGACGGUACCUGAAGAAUAAGCACCGGCUAACUACGUG
rnacentral:rRNA from 1 species